CACACCGCCCGUCACACCAUGGGAGUUGGAUUGACCCGAAGGUGGUGAGCUAACCCGCAGGGGAGGACAGCCAGCCACGGUCGGUUCAGCGACUGGGGUG
rnacentral:rRNA from 1 species